CCUACGGGUGGCAGCAGUGGGGAAUAUUGCACAAUGGGGGAAACCCUGAUGCAGCGACGCCGCGUGAGCGAAGAAGUCUCUCGGUAUGUAAAGCUCUAUCAGCAGGAAAGAAAAUGACGGUACCUGACUAAGAAGCCCCGGCUAACUACGUGCCAGCAGCCGCGGUAAUACGUAGGGGGCAAGCGUUAUCCGGAUUUACUGGGUGUAACGGGAGCGUGGACGGGCCUGCAAGUCCGGAGUGAAAGCCCGUGGCUUAACCAUGGGACUGCCUUGGAAACUGGAAGGCUUGAGUGCGGGAGGGGCAGGCGGAAUUCCUAGUGUAGCGGUGAAAUGCGUAGAUAUUAGGAGGAACACCAGCGGCGAAGGCGGCCUGCUGGACCGUAACUGACGUUGAGGCUCGAAAGCGUGGGGAGCAAACAGGAUUAGAUACCCUAGUAGUC
rnacentral:rRNA from 1 species